rnacentral:rRNA from 1 species
AGUCGAGCGGACAGAUGGGAGCUUGCUCCCUGAUGUUAGCGGCGGACGGGUGAGUAACACGUGGGUAACCUGCCUGUAAGACUGGGAUAACUCCGGGAAACCGGGGCUAAUACCGGAUGGUUGUUUGAACCGCAUGGUUCAAACAUAAAAGGUGGCUUCGGCUACCACUUACAGAUGGACCCGCGGCGCAUUAGCUAGUUGGUGAGGUAACGGCUCACCAAGGCAACGAUGCGUAGCCGACCUGAGAGGGUGAUCGGCCACACUGGGACUGAGACACGGCCCAGACUCCUACGGGAGGCAGCAGUAGGGAAUCUUCCGCAAUGGACGAAAGUCUGACGGAGCAACGCCGCGUGAGUGAUGAAGGUUUUCGGAUCGUAAAGCUCUGUUGUUAGGGAAGAACAAGUACCGUUCGAAUAGGGCGGUACCUUGACGGUACCUAACCAGAAAGCCACGGCUAACUACGUGCCAGCAGCCGCGGUAAUACGUAGGUGGCAAGCGUUGUCCGGAAUUAUUGGGCGUAAAGGGCUCGCAGGCGGUUUCUUAAGUCUGAUGUGAAAGCCCCCGGCUCAACCGGGGAGGGUCAUUGGAAACUGGGGAACUUGAGUGCAGAAGAGGAGAGUGGAAUUCCACGUGUAGCGGUGAAAUGCGUAGAGAUGUGGAGGAACACCAGUGGCGAAGGCGACUCUCUGGUCUGUAACUGACGCUGAGGAGCGAAAGCGUGGGGAGCGAACAGGAUUAGAUACCCUGGUAGUCCACGCCGUAAACGAUGAGUGCUAAGUGUUAGGGGGUUUCCGCCCCUUAGUGCUGCAGCUAACGCAUUAAGCACUCCGCCUGGGGAGUACGGUCGCAAGACUGAAACUCAAAGGAAUUGACGGGGGCCCGCACAAGCGGUGGAGCAUGUGUUUUAUUUCGAAGCAACGCGAAGACCCUUAC